AUAGGAACACCCAGUAUCACCUCACACUUUCAUCAACUUCAAAGACUUUUCCUCCCAAUAUUCUACCCCGUUGCCCUUCAAAAAUCCAUCCAAGAAAUUUCAUUAAUUAAUGUUUUACAAUGAAAUAUUUGAAAAGUUUCCCAUAAAUUAGAAGAUUUUCCCUAAGGUUUAAAACUCAAUACCCAUGUAUAGGGGCAUUAGCUGGCAUGCCCCUUUAAAAACCUUGUGUCCUUGAGGCUCCUGUCUGGGCUGUGCACCAGCAUUCAUGAUAACAGUCCUUGGCCAACCCAGCUCCUUUCCCGUGGGAGAGUUAGCACCAAGACCCUCACGGUAUGAAGGAACAUGGAGGCCCUCCAGGGGGGCUCUGGUCCUUGGAAUGUGGGUCGUACAGGGACUAUCUCCCUUGGCAAGCACGCAGCCUUUGUUCCUCUGCCUACUUAAGCAAGCUUCUCUUAGGGAGCAGUAGCGGGUGCAGGUUGCUGUCCAGACGGCAGCCACCGGACCUUCCCUGUAAGUAACUCCCAAUAAACCCAUAUGUCUCAUUCGCUGUCUCCGGGUCUUUUCUUUGGUCUCUCAGCAACCUGUCCCACACUGCUCACCCAGGUGUGCGUGUGGCGGAACACUAUGUUUCCUCAUCCUUAGAGAGACAUGCAGCCCUAAAAUUGCACAAAAUCAUUUCCUUUAAAUCCACAUGCCCCUUUUAAAUAAUCUUUAAAUAAAUCUCAAAUCUCAGGAAGUCUUUCCUAGAUCAGGUCUUAGUCUUCUGCCCCAGGCCCCAGAGUUUCUCUGAGAGCUACCAUCCGUUUGUCAGGGAGCAAAACAAAGCCCUCGGCCAAUCAGACCGUUUUUAAGAGGAGCUUCUCCACCUUGAUUGUGCGUUAGAACCACCUGAGACCUUCAGAACUACUGAUGCUUGGGGCCCAAAUUUUAUCAUUAUGUGAGACUCUCUGGAAAGGGACCGUCAUCAGGAUAGUUAAACCCUCUCCAGGUGGUUCUAAUCUGCAGCCUGGGCAUGACUCAGUUUACUAAAGUCUCCACCUCACUGGAGCACAAUGAGGUGGGAAUGGACCAAGGAGGCCCCUUCACCCGGGUGCAGAUCAUGGCAAAGUGCACGCUGUUCCUCUAAGGAUGCAGAUGUCAAACCAGACAACACGGUAGAACCACCAAGGGAGCUUUUCACAAAUACUACUGCCUGGAACCCAGCCCCAAAUCAUCAAGUCUGAAUCACUGGGGUUGGCCUUUGAAAUGACUUCCAGAUGAAUCUGUGUAGAAUCAGGGCUGGCAAGCUAUUUCACCACUGAAUUCACUCGCAGACAGGAUUCACGAUACUCUGAGUUUCUGGACUAGUGGGAGAGCUAUGCUUAACCUGGAAGUUAUAUUGAAUUGUACGAGUGUUUGUCAAGGUUGAAGACAGAAUAACAGGGAAACAACUCUGAGGGGGGUCACUGUCUGGGAAGGCGUCUAUGUACCAAGUGACUGCCCGAGACCUGCAUGAGGAGUAUGAGCCUGCUUGAUGAAUGGCAUUAGUGGAGGAUGGAAGAGGAGCAAACACAUCCAAGACCUUUAAUAGUGGCUAGAGCUCCCAUGGGCUUCAGAGACUGCCAGAAGCGGAGAGGAGCAAACACGUUUCUACACUCCGAGACCUCCUGACUCUCCUGAGCUCCAGCAAGGCAGACCAAGAGCCAGCUGUCUGCAGAUCCUGGAUUAGGCCCUGUGGCUGCGGAGAAAACUCAGGGAUAAAAAUGAGGAUAAACUGGGAGGGAACCUGCUUCUUGUGUGUCUGUGGGAGGAUAGUUGUGACAUGUAGGAUGCUGCCUCAGCAUGGCUUGAUGAGCAGUGCCAUGUCCACGCCCAGGAUUCGAACCAACGAAACACUGGGCUGCCUGCAGCAGAGCACGCGAACUUAACCACUCGGCCACGGGGUCAGCACCACUUUGGUAUUUGUUUCAAAGUCUAUUCUGUCUGGUAUAAGUAUAGCUACUUUAGCUUUCUAUUUGCUUGGAAUAUAUUUUUCCAUCCCUUCAUUCUCAAUCCAUGUGUUCUUACAUCUGAAGUCACAGCAUCUAGAUGAAUCUUGUUUUAUUAUCCAUAAGCCACUCAGUGUCAUUUGAUUGGAGAAAUUUAGUCCAUUUACAUUAAAGGAAUUAUUGACAGGUA
ensembl:lncRNA